GGUAGCUCAGUGGUUAGAGCAUCCGAUCGGUGCGUUACGGAAGGUCAUAGGUUCGAAUCCCGUUGGGGACU